rnacentral:piRNA from 1 species
UGCUUCAGCACCAGGACUUCAAGAUGCCU